UACGAAGGGGGCUAGCGUUGUUCGGAUUUACUGGGCGUAAAGCGCACGUAGGCGGGUCGUUAAGUCAGGGGUGAAAUCCCGGAGCUCAACUCCGGAACUGCCUUUGAUACUGGCGACCUUGAGGCUGGAAGAGGUUAGUGGAAUUCCCAGUGUAGAGGUGAAAUUCGUAGAUAUUGGGAAGAACACCAGUGGCGAAGGCGGCUAACUGGUCCAGAUCUGACGCUGAGGUGCGAAAGCUAGGGGAGCAAACAGG
rnacentral:rRNA from 1 species